GCAACCUAAGCGCUACGGACUCUAGAUAGCCAAGUUGGACGAGCUCAGAACCGUAGCUGAGAAUCGUAAUCCCGAUGGAAGCAACGACGUCGAAGGCAUCGACCGGCAGAAAACGUCAACGAGAGCAGGAAUCUUCGCCGGAGACUGAAGCAGCCGACCAAUUUGUAUCACUAGAGGACAAUCUAAUUUUUAGCGACACCUUGGUAGCUCUUCGGAUGAUGCGUUCUCAGUUCCCUCGAAUCGAAAAGGUUUCAAUUCAGCCUUUCAUUUUAAGGUCACAAUUAUACAGCUGCGUCAAGGACAGGACACAAGUGGAUAGGGAAUUAGAGUCUCUGAAAAGGGAAUGCAUUAUACGUGUUUUUAAAUUAAAUACUGGACAAGACGAUCAUGCUGUAAUGUUUGUGGAUGACUACCAAAGUCAGAUUGAGCGUGCUGUCAAACGACUUCAGACCAAGAGGCAAGAUGAUCUGACUGUUUUUGAUUGGUUUAAAACACACGUCAUUCCUUCCAAGCUGGAUCCUAGUAUUGGACAUCAAGAACUUUUUUCACUUCUCUCAUUGGUGGGAAAGGUAAAAGAGGAACACAUCUCUCUUCUGAUUAAUGCUGGCCUUCUUACUCGGCAACUUAUUGAUCCCAACAUGUACUGGUUUGCAAUUCCAAAUAUUGGUUCGGUACUUAAGGGCCUGUCUCAGGGAAGAAAAGAGCUUCUCUCUUUUCUGAACCGCAGGAAGUAUAAGGAGAUGAUGUUGGCUCUUUUGGAGAAGAAACGCCUGCAUCAUUCUCUACUGGAUAUGAGAUUUCAUCUUAGAGAUCUAAUUGGUUCAGGUCACCUCAAAACCAUUCAGACACCCAGUGGUUUGGUUGUUCGAAUUGCUAAGGAUUAAAAGCAGGUUUGUACUGACUUUUGUUAGGGAUGACUCUUCAGAGAAACUUCACAAUACCAUAGGAGUUUUCAUGGUGCUAAACAGUUUGCAAAGGUCAACCUCUCUUUCCUGUUAAAGUUGGUGGUCAUACUCAAUUACUUAGUGGAAGUUGGAUCCUGAUUAUCAUGGUGGCAGUGAAAUUUGUGUGCCCAGAGACCUACCAAAAUUAAAUUAGACAUACUGGCAUAGAUUCAUUGACGACAAUAAUACUUGCAUUCUGGAGAUUGUUUGGGAGUGGAAUGGAUCUGCAGUGAAGCUUAACCUAUUUUACCUAUUCACAAGAGUUGGUGCAGUUGCUUCGGUAGCUGAGCAGUCAAAGGUGGCAUCAUAAGCAUGAAUUCUUGUUGGUUUCAGUAUUUUUCUUAUCUGAAAUUUGUUUUUACCCAACAAGAUUUGUCUUUGUGAAACUCAAUAAUGCAUGGAAUUUUUGGUUUUGAUUGAGCUAUUGUACCAUGAAGAGUUUCAGCUCAAGUAUCAUUGAGUUGGAUGGAGACCUAAACCCUGUAGUAUUUCUUUUCUAUGAGCUAAUAUUUAUUACCUAAUAAUUAUUUAAAGGCAAAGAUUAAAUCAAACAGAGUGGAUCUGAAUUUUUAGCUUAAAUGUAAUGCUCCAUAUUAGCAUGCUUGUCAUACGAAUGCUGAUGGCUGACAAUUGUACUGUUUGCAUUUGUUCAAGUUGAACCUGUGUGUGUAACAAAUCUCUCUAUA